UGGAUCCAGACUUUGAUCCUGGCUCAGGAUGAACGCUAGCUACAGGCUUAACACAUGCAAGUCGAGGGGAAACGACAGUAAAGCUUGCUUUAUUGGGCGUCGACCGGCGCACGGGUGCGUAACGCGUAUCCAACCUGCCCCCAACUCCGGAAUAGUCCCCCGAAAGGGGGGUAACGCCGGAUGCUGCAGCUGCUCCGCAUGGUGAAGUUGCGAAAUGAAAAAGGUUGGGGCUGGGGAUGCGUCCCAUUAGGUAGUAGGCGGGGUAACGGCCCACCUAGCCGACGAUGGGUAGGGGUUCUGAGAGGAAGGUCCCCCACAUUGGAACUGAGACACGGUCCAAACUCCUACGGGAGGCAGCAGUGAGGAAUAUUGGUCAAUGGGCGAGAGCCUGAACCAGCCAAGUAGCGUGUGGGAAGAAUGCCCUAUGGGUUGUAAACCACUUUUGCAGGAGGGUAAAAUGCUUCACGUGUGGAGUAUUGCAAGUAUCCUGCGAAUAAGGACCGGCUAAUUCCGUGCCAGCAGCCGCGGUAAUACGGAAGGUCCAGGCGUUAUCCGGAUUUAUUGGGUUUAAAGGGAGCGUAGGCGGGGAGUCAAGUCAGUUGUGAAAAGCCACGGCCCAACCGUGGUCGUGCAGUUGAAACUGGUUCUCUUGAGUGCGCACGAGGACGGUGGAAUUCGUGGUGUAGCGGUGAAAUGCUUAGAUAUCACGAAGAACUCCGAUUGCGAAGGCAGCCGUCCGGAGCGUUACUGACGCUGAGGCUCGAAGGUGCGGGUAUCAAACAGGAUUAGAUACCCUGGUAGUCCGCACAGUAAACGAUGGAUGUCGGCUGUCGGCGACAGAAUGUCGGUGGCCACGCGAAAGUUUUAAGCAUCCCACCUGGGGAGUACGCCGGCAACGGUGCAACUCAAAUGAAUUGACGGA
rnacentral:rRNA from 1 species